AUUGAACGCUGGCGGCAGGCCUAACACAUGCAAGUCGAACGAGUGGCGGACGGGUGAGUAAUGUCUGGGAAACUGCCUGAUGGAGGGGGAUAACUACUGGAAACGGUAGCUAAUACCGCAUACCAUCAGAUGUGCCCAGAUGGAAUUAUCUAGGUGGUGGGGUAAAGGCUCACCAAGGCGACGAUCCCUAGCUGGUCUGAGAGGAUGACCAGCAACACUGGAACUGAGACACGGUCCAGACUCCGACGGGAGGCAGCAGUGGGGAAUAUUGCACAAUGGGCGCAAGCCGGAUGCAGCCAUGCCGAGUGGAUGAAGAAGGCAUUCGGGUUGUAAAGUACUUUCAGCGGGGAGGCGUUACCCGCAGAAGAAGCACCGGCUAAAUCCGUGCAAGCAGCCGCGGUAAUUC
rnacentral:rRNA from 1 species